rnacentral:rRNA from 1 species
AUACGGAGGGUGCGAGCGUUGUUCGGAAUUAUUGGGCGUAAAGAGCAUGUAGGCGGUCUGUUAAGUCUGGUGUGAAAGCCCGGGGCUCAACCCCGGAAGUGCAUUGGAUACUGGCAGACUUGAGUAUGGGAGAGGAAAGCGGAAUUCCGAGUGUAGGAGUGAAAUCCGUAGAUAUUCGGAGGAACACCAGUGGCGAAGGCGGCUUUCUGGACCAAUACUGACGCUGAGAUGCGAAAGCGUGGGGAGCAAACAGGAUUAGAUACCCGGGUAGUCC